rnacentral:rRNA from 1 species
GAUGAACGCUGGCGGCGUGCCUAACACAUGCAAGUCGAGCGAUUUACUUCGGUAAAGAGCGGCGGACGGGUGAGUAACGCGUGGGUAACCUGCCCUGUACACACGGAUAACAUACCGAAAGGUAUGCUAAUACGAGAUAAUAUGCUUUUAUCGCAUGGUAGAAGUAUCAAAGCUUUUGCGGUACAGGAUGGACCCGCGUCUGAUUAGCUAGUUGGUAAGGUAACGGCUUACCAAGGCGACGAUCAGUAGCCGACCUGAGAGGGUGAUCGGCCACAUUGGAACUGAGACACGGUCCAAACUCCUACGGGAGGCAGCAGUGGGAAUAUUGCACAAUGGGCGAAAGCCUGACGCAGCAACGCCGCGUGAGCGAUGAAGGCCUUCGGGUCGUAAAGCUCUGUCCUCGAGGAAGAUAAUGACGGUACUUGAGGAGGAAGCCCCGGCUAACUACGUGCCAGCAGCCGCGGUAA